rnacentral:rRNA from 1 species
UACGGGGGGAGCAAGCGUUGUUCGGAUUUACUGGGCGUAAAGGGCGCGUAGGCGGCCACCGCAAGUCGACUGUGAAAUCUCCGGGCUUAACCCGGAAAGGUCAGCCGAUACUGCGGGGCUAGAGUGCAGAAGGGGCAACUGGAAUUCUCGGUGUAGCGGUGAAAUGCGUAGAUAUCGAGAGGAAUGCCAAGGGUGAAGACAGGUUCCUAGGGCAGUACUGACGCUCAUGAACGACAGCUAGGGGAGCAAAAGGG